UGUGCUCUUGAGAGGCUCUUCCUUCUGGGUUGAGGAAUCGUUGAAGACAUCUUUGUUUCAUGGGAAUGAGAAACUCAAAACUCAAAUUUAGUAGGUUACUAACCUAAAAAAUAAGAACACCAAGAACGAUCUUGAAAACAAUCCCAGAAAAUAAUAAUGCAAAGUUCAAUUAUGAAAACAAACCCAGAAAAUGUGAAGAACAAAGAGCAAAUGUGGACUCAAACUCAAAAAUUUAUAACAACUAAGAACUACAGAGAAGGAGGAGAGAAUUCUAGAGAGAUAAGUGAAUUUUGUUUUAGCAAAAUGAGAGAAUGAGAGGUUUGGUCGAGUUUAGGGGUUAUAAAGAGGGUGAGAGGGGAGAAAAAUUUGAAAGGGGAGCGUUUUUGGUCGAGCUUGAUCCGAAAUUUGAAAUUCAAUCGGGUUGACCAUUGAUCCGACCGUUACCUUUGACCCGAUCGGACGGCUAAGAUGAACCCGAUCGGGUGGCUCAGAUUGAUUCGAUCGGACGGUUGAGAUCGACCCGAUCGAGUAGAGUUGACCCGACAGUGUGCAUGUUGACUCGACCGAAUGGGCUUGUGAAAUUGAGUUUUAAGGCCCACAUUGACUCCUUCUUCCUUCUUUCCUUAUCUUGACCUAAUAACACCUUUCUUCACUCACAAUCAAACCUGAAAACACAUCAAACUAAAAGGAACAUUAAAUUAUAAAAACUUAAAGAAAUAUGUACAGGGAUACCGUUGGGACUUCCUCCCAAGUGACCUUGUUUAUAGUCACUAAGCUUGACUUGGUAUAGUCCUCAUGAAGC
rnacentral:lncRNA from 1 species